GCACCCGUAGCUCAGCUGGAUAGAGCGCUGCCCUCCGAAGGCAGAGGCCACAGGUUCGAACCCUGUCGGGUGCGCCA
rnacentral:tRNA from 3 species